rnacentral:rRNA from 1 species
UACGGAGGGUGCGAGCGUUGUCCGGAAUCAUUGGGCGUAAAGGGCGCGUAGGUGGCGGCUUAAGCGUGCGGUGAAAGCUCGGGGCUCAACCCCGAGUCGGCCGUGCGAACUGAGUCGCUUGAGCACUGUAGAGGCAGGCGGAAUUCCGGGUGUAGCGGUGGAAUGCGUAGAGAUCCGGAAGAACACCGGUGGCGAAGGCGGCCUGCUGGGCAGUAGCUGACACUGAGGCACGAAAGCGUGGGGAGCAAACAGG